rnacentral:lncRNA from 1 species
AUUUAUUUCAUAUUAUGUCUUUUAAAAAUGUUACCUUUGACAUGCAUGUACGUAAACCUUGUCUUUACGUCAUACUUGGAAUGCAGUCGUAUUUAGUUGUAAAAGAGUCAUGAUUCGUCUUGUUUCGUUGCACUUAUAACAUGCCGCGACCAAAGAAAGUCGUUCUCAACAUUUGUUUUUCACUAUCAUUGUUUUAUCAAACAGUUUUUAAUGCAAUAUUAUCGACUUCUUUAAAAAAUAUUAUCCACUUUCAUAUCAUCAGUCUGUCAACAUUAAAUUCACAUAUACAGUUUCUUUUUGUCAACUGAAAAUUUUAUUAAACGGGUCAAAGCCCAACAAAAGACUCAGCCCAACAGAAAGAUAAAACAGAAGCUUAAACAACGGUCUGCAUAUACAAAACUCCAUGGGCCUUCAUCCCAACAGAAAAAAAUGUAUAAAAAGGUAAGCGACACUUUCCCCCACGUGAGCGACAAACGACUCUAAAACAUGCAUCAAGACGAAGCACCACUACCUCCACCAGAAAGAGUCACGUCGUAGAUCCACCGACAGCGGAGAAGAAUCAGUGAAAGACCAACAUAGUAGUCUUCACGGAAGGCCAAGACGCAACCAGACCACCGCUUCGGAAAAAACCAUCGUUUUCAAUCGAUCUAAGAGAACUCUGUUCUUCCUGCAUGAACGAACAGCCAUCUUUGAUGAUGAAAAUAAGCUUGAAGAUGAGACGACCUAGUUACAGGGAGAUAAAGGCUUCGGAGGAUCAGAUCGAGAGUCGAUGGAACAAAGAAAGGGCAGAAGCGAUGAUCAAACGGAACCGAGAAAACCCCCGGUGAGGAGCCGGCGAAGAGGAAAUAACGGGAACACCUCUUCCCGAAGAUAAUAGAUGGAGAAAAUAACAUUGAGAGAACUGC